rnacentral:tRNA from 1 species
ACCUUUCUAGUAUAUUAGUACAAACGACUUCCAAUCGUUAAGUUCCAGUAUAACCCUGGAGAAAAGUA